AGGGGCUACCAUGCAAGUCGAGCGAGAUCUUCGGAUCUAGCGGCGGACGGGUGAGUAACGCGUGGGAACGUACCCUCUUCUGCGGGAUAGCCACUGGAAACGGUGAGUAAUACCGCAUACGCCCUUCGGGGGAAAGAUUUAUCGGAGGAGGAUCGGCCCGCGUUGGAUUAGGUAGUUGGUGGGGUAAUGGCCUACCAAGCCUACGAUCCAUAGCUGGUUUUAGAGGAUGAUCAGCCACACUGGGACUGAGACACGGCCCAGACUCCUACGGGAGGCAGCAGUGGGGAAUCUUAGACAAUGGGCGCAAGCCUGAUCUAGCCAUGCCGCGUGAGUGACGAAGGCCUUAGGGUCGUAAAGCUCUUUCGCCUGUGAUGAUAAUGACAGUAGCAGGUAAAGAAACCCCGGCUAACUCCGUGCCAGCAGCCGCGGUAAUACGGAGGGGGUUAGCGUUGUUCGGAAUUACUGGGCGUAAAGCGCACGUAGGCGGAUUGGAAAGUAUGGGGUGAAAUCCCAGGGCUCAACCCUGGAACGGCCUCAUAAACUUCCAGUCUGGAGUUCGAGAGAGGUGAGUGGAAUUCCGAGUGUAGAGGUGAAAUUCGUAGAUAUUCGGAGGAACACCAGUGGCGAAGGCGGCUCACUGGCUCGAUACUGACGCUGAGGUGCGAAAGUGUGGGGAGCAAACAGGAUUAGAUACCCUGGUAGUCC
rnacentral:rRNA from 1 species